rnacentral:rRNA from 1 species
GACGAACGCUGGCGGCGUGCUUAACACAUGCAAGUCGAGCGGUAAGGCCCUUUCGGGGGUACACGAGCGGCGAACGGGUGAGUAACACGUGGGUGACCUGCCCUCCAGCUCUGGGAGUAAAGCCUGGGAAACCGGGUACGUAAUAACUGGAUAUGACUCCAUGACGCAUGUUGUGGGUGGAAAGCCUUGUGCGGCUGAGGAUGGGCCCGCGGCCUAUCAGCUUGUUGGUGGGGUGAUGGCCUACCAAGGCGACGACGGGUAGCCGGCCUGAGAGGGCGACCGG